rnacentral:rRNA from 1 species
UACGUAGGGUGCAAGCGUUAAUCGGAAUUACUGGGCGUAAAGCGUGCGCAGGCGGUUAUGCAAGACAGAUGUGAAAUCCCCGGGCUCAACCUGGGAACUGCAUUUGUGACUGCAUGGCUAGAGUACGGUAGAGGAGACUGGAAUUCCUGGUGUAGCAGUGAAAUGCGUAGAUAUCAGGAGGAAUACCGAUGGCGAAGGCAGGUCUCUGGGCUGACACUGACGCUCAUGCACGAAAGCGUGGGGAGCGAACAGG